rnacentral:rRNA from 1 species
UAAUACGUAGGGUGCAAGCGUUGUCCGGAAUUAUUGGGCGUAAAGAGCUCGUAGGCGGCUUGUCGCGUCUGCUGUGAAAACCCGGGGCUCAACCCCGGGCCUGCAGUGGGUACGGGCAGGCUAGAGUGCGGUAGGGGAGAUUGGAAUUCCUGGUGUAGCGGUGGAAUGCGCAGAUAUCAGGAGGAACACCGAUGGCGAAGGCAGAUCUCUGGGCCGUAACUGACGCUGAGGAGCGAAAGCAUGGGGAGCGAACAGGAUUAGAUACCCUGGUAGUCCAUGCCGUAAACGUUGGGAACUAGAUGUAGGGCCUGUUCCACGGGUUCUGUGUCGUAGCUAACGCAUUAAGUUCCCCGCCUGGGGAGUACGGCCGCAAGGCUAAAACUUAAAGGAAUUGACGG